rnacentral:lncRNA from 1 species
UUCUAUAGUUAGACCUCUAGAUAUGGACUUGCUUCUUCAAUCUUUGGAUAGAGUUCAGAUAAUUUAGGAUAGGCUUCGAGCGGUCUAGAGUAGGCAGAAGUGAUGUACAUACCAUGCACUUUCUGCCUUGAGAUUUGGUGAAGGUGAUCAUGUUUUCCUUUAUGUUUCCCCAUGAAGGGUGUGAUAAGGUUUUGGAAGAGGGACAAGAAUAGCCCAAGGUAUAUUUUCACAUUUAAGAUACAUUGGGUUAUUGGUUAUGUGG